GAUGAACGCUGGCGGCGUGCUUAACACAUGCAAGUCGAACGAAGCACCUUAUUCUGAUUUCUUCGGAAUGAAAAAUUUGGUGACUGAGUGGCGGACGGGUGAGUAACGCGUGGGUAACCUGCCUCAUACAGGGGGAGUAACAGUUAGAAAUGACUGCUAAUACCGCAUAAGACCACAGGAUCGCAUGAUCCGGUGGUAAAAACUACCGGUGGUAUGAGAUGGACCCGCGUCUGAUUAGCUAGUUGGUGGGGUAACGGCUCACCAAGGCGACGAUCAGUAGCCGACCUGAGAGGGUGACCGGCCACAUUGGGACUGAGACACGGCCCAA
rnacentral:rRNA from 1 species